CAGAUGACAUUGUCAUUGAGGAUUUAUAGGCAGUGCGGACACCAGAGAGAGGCCAACAUCCAAAUGAACUCAGCAGGCGACAGAAUGAUGGCGGCAAGACCUCCUUUUCCAUAUUUUCAUGGGGGCAGAAGGGAUGCAGUGGCUGUGGGACCAGAUCAGGAUAUAUGAUCUACUCCCUGUGUAACUCCACGUGUCUCGGUCUCGAGCUGAUUGAAGGCAGAGACGGGAUUUCACCAAUUGGUGAAAAGAAGAAAGAGAACUGGAAUAGCAU